GUUGGUGAGGUAACGGCUCACCAAGGCAACGAUGCGUAGCCGACCUGAGAGGGUGAUCGGCCACACUGGGACUGAGACACGGCCCAGACUCCUACGGGAGGCAGCAGUAGGGAAUCUUCCGCAAUGGACGAAAGUCUGACGGAGCAACGCCGCGUGAGUGAUGAAGGUUUUCGGAUCGUAAAGCUCUGUUGUUAGGGAAGAACAAGUACCGUUCGAAUAGGGCGGUACCUUGACGGUACCUAACCAGAAAGCCACGGCUAACUACGUGCCAGCAGCCGCGGUAAUACGUAGGUGGCAAGCGUUGUCCGGAAUUAUUGGGCGUAAAGGGCUCGCAGGCGGUUUCUUAAGUCUGAUGUGAAAGCCCCCGGCUCAACCGGGGAGGGUCAUUGGAAACUGGGGAACUUGAGUGCAGAAGAGGAGAGUGGAAUUCCACGAGUAGCGGUGAAAUGCGUAGAGAUGUGGAGGAACACCAGUGGCGAAGGCGACUCUCUGGUCUGUAACUGACGCUGAGGAGCGAAAGCGUGGGGAGCGAACAGGAUUAGAUACCCUGGUAGUCCACGCCGUAAACGAUGAGUGCUAAGUGUUAGGGGGUUUCCGCCCCUUAGUGCUGCAGCUAACGCAUUAAGCACUCCGC
rnacentral:rRNA from 1 species